GGACUGCCGUUCCUGGAGCUGUCGGUAUUCUUGGAGCAGCAUCAUAUCUUGUAUUGUUCCAUGGCUGAAGGCUCUAAUACGGUCCUGUAAAAACUGGCCCCCAUGGCCUAGUGUUGGGUCUGAUCAUCCCAACAUUUCUGGCGCCCAACAUGGGGCUGUGAAGACCCUGGUGAAGGAAUACUAGAGCAUGCAGAAGCAGAGGAUGUAUUGUCAGAGGACACCCGAGGACGACUGAAAGAAGUUCGGCAGUUUGCAGAUGCAGAAGCCACCUCUGGAGAGAAAGCCACCGCCAAGAGCAAGCAAUAAUAACUGUGGUGGUUUUGCAAAAAAGAAAAGGGAGGCAUGUUGGUAGAAGAACUG